rnacentral:rRNA from 1 species
CCUACGGGAGGCAGCAGUGAGGAAUAUUGGUCAAUGGACGAGAGUCUGAACCAGCCAAGUAGCGUGAAGGAUGACUGCCCUAUGGGUUGUAAACUUCUUUUAUAUGGGAAUAAAACGUUCCACGUGUGGGAUUUUGUAUGUACCAUAUGAAUAAGGAUCGGCUAACUCCGUGCCAGCAGCCGCGGUAAUACGGAGGAUCCGAGCGUUAUCCGGAUUUAUUGGGUUUAAAGGGAGCGUAGGUGGAUUGUUAAGUCAGUUGUGAAAGUUUGCGGCUCAACCGUAAAAUUGCAGUUGAAACUGGCAGUCUUGAGUACAGUAGAGGUGGGCGGAAGUCGUGGUGUAGCGGUGAAAUGCUUAGAGAUCACGAAGAACUCCGAUUGCGAAGGCAGUUCACUGGACUGCAACUGACACUGAGGCUCGAAAGUGUGGGUAUCAAACAGGAUUAGAUACCCCGGUAGUC